ACGGCGAGUGAAGCGGCAACAGCUCAAAUUUGAAAUCUGGCCCCCAGGGUCCGAGUUGUAAUUUGCAGAGGAUGAUUUUGGCGAGGUGCCUUCCGAGUUCCCUGGAACGGGACGCCACAGAGGGUGAGAGCCCCGUCUGGUUGGACGCCGAGCCUAUGUAAAUCUCCUUCGACGAGUCGAGUAGUUUGGGAAUGCUGCUCUAAAUGGGAGGUAUAUGUCUUCUAAAGCUAAAUAUUGGCCAGAGACCGAUAGCGCACAAGUAGAGUGAUCGAAAGAUGAAAAGCACUUUGAAAAGAGGGUUAAAUAGUACGUGAAAUUGUUGAAAGGGAAGCGCUCAUGACCAGACUUGGGCCCGGUGAAUCAUCCAGCGUUCUCGCUGGUGCACUUUGCCGGGCACAGGCCAGCAUCAGUUUGCCCUGGGGGAUAAAGGCUUUGGGAAUGUGGCUCCUCCGGGAGUGUUAUAGCCCAUUGCAUAAUAUCCUGGGGCGGACUGAGGUUCGCGCAUC
rnacentral:rRNA from 1 species